CAGGAAAUCGAGGCUGCAGUGAGCCACGAUCACACCAUGCCACGGCACUCCAGCCUGGGCAACAGGAUGAGACCUUGUCUCACACACACACACAAAAAGAAAGGGGCUGGAAUCUGAGUAGCUGAGGUGCUUAUGUGACUACAUGCCUACAUCACUGACCCCCAAUAAACACCUUGGACACAAGACUCAGGGCUGCUUCAUCGAUACUUUCUUAUUUUAUGUUAUGAUGCAUCAAAGUGAACUCUGAUCCCUUCAAACAGAAUCAUUGCUUUCAGAUAAAGA
rnacentral:lncRNA from 1 species